AAAAACCAAUCUUCCAGAAGUAAGUAUGAGAAUAUUAACGAACUCUAGCUAAUAAAAUUUAAAUAAAACUAGUGUGUCAAUAGUCAGUCAUAGCUAAAUGGCUAACAUGAAAAUCAAACUACAAAAUUAAGAGACAGAGAGAGUACCAGCAGUGUUCCAGAGACCUAAAUUCACAGUCCAGCCAUCAACCAUGACAUUAGCGCUAAAGUUAUCAAAAACAGUAGGCACGUAAUCAUGUCACAGAACCCACAAAGCAAGAUCCUUUACUAACCAAAUGCACAUAAAAACAUGACUAAGAAACAAUUUUAAGAGAAGUUAUAUACAGUUGGGAAAGUGUUGCCGGUGUAAGAAAUGAGGAGACAUGUCUUGCCAACGGCACCAUCUC
rnacentral:lncRNA from 1 species